rnacentral:rRNA from 1 species
CCUACGGGCCGCACCAGUGGGGAAUAUUGCACAAUGGGCGCAAGCCUGAUGCAGCCAUGCCGCGUGUAUGAAGAAGGCCUUCGGGUUGUAAAGUACUUUCAGCGGGGAGGAAGGUGUUGUGGUUAAUAACCACAGCAAUUGACGUUACCCGCAGAAGAAGCACCGGCUAACUCCGUGCCAGCAGCCGCGGUAAUACGGAGGGUGCAAGCGUUAAUCGGAAUUACUGGGCGUAAAGCGCACGCAGGCGGUCUGUCAAGUCGGAUGUGAAAUCCCCGGGCUCAACCUGGGAACUGCAUUCGAAACUGGCAGGCUAGAGUCUUGUAGAGGGGGGUAGAAUUCCAGGUGUAGCGGUGAAAUGCGAAGAGAUCUGGAGGGAUACCGGUGGCGAAGGAGGCCCCCUGGACAAAGACUGACGCUCAGGUGCGAAAGCGUGGGGAGCAAACAGGAUUAGAUACCCCGGUAGUC